CCUACGGGAGGCAGCAGUGGGGAAUAUUGGACAAUGGGCGAAAGCCUGAUCCAGCAAUUCCGCGUGUGUGAAGAAGGCCUUCGGGUUGUAAAGCACUUUAGUGGGGGAAGAAACAGCUUGGCCACACCAAGCCUUGACGGUACCCCAAGAAUAAGCACCGGCUAACUCUGUGCCAGCAGCCGCGGUAAUACAGAGGGUGCAAGCGUUAAUCGGAUUUACUGGGCGUAAAGGGUGCGUAGGUGGCUAUUUAAGUCGGAUGUGAAAGCCCGGGGCUCAACCUCGGAAUUGCAUUCGAUACUGAGUGGCUAGAGUUCGGUAGAGGGCGGCGGAAUUUCCGGUGUAGCGGUGAAAUGCGUAGAUAUCGGAAGGAACAUCAAUGGCGAAGGCAGCCGCCUGGGCCUGGACUGACACUGAGGCACGAAAGCGUGGGUAGCAAACAGGAUUAGAUACCCUGGUAGUCCACGCCGUAAACGAUGAGAACUUGACGUUGGUUCGUUUUACGAAUCGGUGUCGCAGCUAACGCGAUAAGUUCUCCGCCUGGGGAGUCGGCCGCAAGGUUGAAACUUACAGAAUUGACGGCUGAGAGNGCGAGACGACGACGAGGGAGAG
rnacentral:rRNA from 1 species